CAGAGGCACGAGGUGCUGUGAGCUUUGAUGUAUAAAUAAACUCAGACUCAUCUUCUUCAGCUGUACACAUCUGAUCCCUCUCUCUCUCUGGAUCUCUCACAUAUCAGAAAGUGAAAAUGGUGAAUAUUGUGGAAAACGUGAAGAAAGGCAUAAGUAAUCUUGUUGAGAUUGUAUCUUGCGGCAGCAGAGGCACAAAGGAAAGUGAUGUAGAAGUUCCAAAGAUGAAAGUUCAGACUAAAUUACAAGCGACGACAGCAAGAAGUGCGGCUCCUGAAGACAAACCCAGUGGUCCUGGGGUUGAAUCGAGUUAGAAGAUGAGGCGAUUAAAGAAACACAAAAAUUCGCCAUAGUAGUUAUUCAUUGUACUUCUAUUUCUAUUUCUCUUCUUUAUUGUUUCAAUUGUUUAAGUAUCUAUGUUAUGUAGCGUUGCCAGAUUUGCACCUUAAUUAAUAUGAAGAUUUAAUUUGUUAUA